rnacentral:rRNA from 1 species
UGGGGAAUAUUGGACAAUGGGCGCAAGCCUGAUCCAGCCAUGCCGCGUGAGUGAUGAAGGCCCUAGGGUUGUAAAGCUCUUUCACCGGUGAAGAUAAUGACGGUAACCGGAGAAGAAGCCCCGGCUAACUUCGUGCCAGCAGCCGCGGUAAUACGAAGGGGGCUAGCGUUGUUCGGAUUUACUGGGCGUAAAGCGCACGUAGGCGGACUUUUAAGUCAGGGGUGAAAUCCCGGGGCUCAACCCCGGAACUGCCUUUGAUACUGGGAGUCUUGAGUAUGGUAGAGGUGAGUGGAAUUCCGAGUGUAGAGGUGAAAUUCGUAGAUAUUCGGAGGAACACCAGUGGCGAAGGCGGCUCACUGGACCAUUACUGACGCUGAGGUGCGAAAGCGUGGGGAGCAAACA